AUGAAUCCUGCAUCCGGAGCACUGAGCCCUCUCCCCCAGCCCAAUGGAACUGCCAACACCACUAAAAAUCUGGUGGUGACUGCAGAGAUGUGCUGCUACUGCUUUGAUGUACUCUACUGUCACCUCUAUGGCUUCCCACAGCCACGACUUCCUAGAUUCACCAAUGACCCCUAUCCACUUUUUGUGACCUGGAAGACAGGGCGGGACAAGCGGCUUUGUGGCUGCAUUGGGACGUUCUCAGCCAUGAAUCUUCAUUCAGGACUCAGGGAAUAUACGUUAACCAGUGCACUUAAGGACAGCCGAUUUCCCCCCUUGACCCGAGAGGAGCUGCCCAAACUUUUCUGCUCUGUCUCCCUCCUUACUAACUUUGAAGAUGCCAGUGAUUACCUGGACUGGGAGGUAGGGGUGCAUGGGAUUCGUAUUGAAUUCAUCAAUGAAAAAGGUGUCAAGCGCACAGCCACAUACUUACCUGAGGUGGCUAAGGAACAAGACUGGGAUCAGAUACAGACAAUAGACUCCUUGCUCAGAAAAGGUGGCUUCAAGGCUCCAAUUACCAGUGAAUUCAGAAAAUCGAUCAAACUCACCAGAGCAAAGCCAAAGUAUCGAAGUGAGAAGGUGACAAUCAGUUACGCAGAGUAUAUUGCUUCUCGACAGCACUGUUUCCAGAAUGGCACUCUUCAUGCCCCGCCCCUCUACAAUCAUUACUCCUGACACACGGCUGCAUGACCAGUCCCACCCCCCUGUUGCUGCCAAUGGCUAUGACAUCAUUGGAGCAGAUGCCUCCUCUUCCUGGUCCAGUUACUUCUAUUACUGCACCAUUUUAUGAUGCUAGCUUCCGUUGCCAAGUCUGCCUCCUGCUGACUGAGGGGUGGGGGUUACACUGAAUGCAACAGAACUUGAGGGGCCCAAGCCUUAUAUCAGCCUUUCCUCAAUCUGGGGUUCCUUUGGAUUGAGGCUCCUCCAUGACCAGGGAGAAAGACUGGGUUCAAAAGACCCUUGUCUGGUGAUUUCCCACAUGUGUUGGGUACACACUGAAGGCUUGGAUUGAUCAUGGAGGCUUCCUUCCCCAACCCCCACAGCCUUCCCAGGUCAAGUAGGUGUACUCCCCUGGCAGUCUGGGCAACGGAGACCAACAUGAACCAUUUUUAGGUUGUUUUAAAUUCCUUUUUUAAAACUUCCAGUUUAUUGUGUACCAAGAGUUGAUCACAACCUCCAUGCUUCAUAAGCAAACACCAUAUUAGGGUUGAAUGUGGGCACCAUGAGUCCUUCAAGGCUCCUGGACAAGAGACCCACACCAAAAUCAGAAGCCCUGUGGAUGGCAUUGCAGAUCCCGUUGCACAGUAAGCCAUGAAGGUUUUAAUGCUUGCCCCACUUGGCAGGAUUU